AUUGAACGCUGGCGGCAUGCUUUACACAUGCAAGUCGAACGGUAACAGGUUAAGCUGACGAGUGGCGAACGGGUGAGUAAUGCAUCGGAACGUGCCCGGUCGUGGGGGAUAACGCAGCGAAAGCUGCGCCAAUACCGCAUACGAUCUGAGGAUGAAAGCGGGGGACCGUAAGGCCUCGCGCGAUCGGAGCGGCCGAUGUCAGAUUAGGUAGUUGGUGGGGUAAAGGCUCACCAAGCCAACGAUCUGUAGCUGGUCUGAGAGGACGACCAGCCACACUGGGACUGAGACACGGCCCAGACUCCUACGGGAGGCAGCAGUGGGGAAUUUUGGACAAUGGGCGAAAGCCUGAUCCAGCAAUGCCGCGUGCAGGAAGAAGGCCUUCGGGUUGUAAACUGCUUUUGUACGGAGCGAAAAGGUCUCCUCAAUACAGGGGGCUCAUGACGGUACCGUAAGAAUAAGCACCGGCUAACUACGUGCCAGCCGCCGCAGUAA
rnacentral:rRNA from 1 species